AUGAAUCUCAGUUUACUAUGUGGUGCUGCAUUCUGUUUCCUGCAGGCAGGUCCAGUGAGUGCUGGCAUUAUUCAGACUCCGAAAUCGAUGCUUGUGAAGACAGGGCAACAUGUGACAAUGAGAUGUACUCAGGAUAUGAAACAUGACUCCAUGUUCUGGUACCGACAGGAUCCAGAGCUGGGGCUGAGGCUAAUCUACUACUCGUAUAAUGUUGGCAUCACUGACAAAGGAGACGUCCCUGAGGGGUACAAUGUUUCCAGAUCAAACACAGAGGACUUCUCCCUUAUUCUGAAGUCAGCCUCCCCCUCCUAG